rnacentral:rRNA from 1 species
GUACACUCCUGCGGGAGGCAGCAGUGGGGAAUAUUGGACAAUGGGCGCAAGCCUGAUCCAGCCAUGCCGCGUGAGUGAUGAAGGCCCUAGGGUUGUAAAGCUCUUUCACCGGUGAAGAUAAUGACGGUAACCGGAGAAGAAGCCCCGGCUAACUUCGUGCCAGCAGCCGCGGUAAUACGAAGGGGGCUAGCGUUGUUCGGAUUUACUGGGCGUAAAGCGCACGUAGGCGGACUAUUAAGUCAGGGGUGAAAUCCCGGGGCUCAACCCCGGAACUGCCUUUGAUACUGGUAGUCUUGAGUUCGAGAGAGGUGAGUGGAAUUCCGAGUGUAGAGGUGAAAUUCGUAGAUAUUCGGAGGAACACCAGUGGCGAAGGCGGCUCACUGGCUCGAUACUGACGCUGAGGUGCGAAAGCGUGGGGAGCAAACAGGAUUAGAAACCCUAGUAGUCC